CGAAGACGCUGGCGGCAUGCCUAACACAUGCAAGUCGAACGAGACCUUCGGGUCUAGUGGCGGCACGGGUGCGUAACGCGUGGGAAUCUGCCCUUGGGUUCGGAAUAACUCAGAGAAAUUUGAGCUAAUACCGGAUGAUGACGUAAGUCCAAAGAUUUAUCGCCCAAGGAUGAGCCCGCGUAAGAUUAGCCUGUUGGUAGGGUAAUGGCCUACCAAGGCGACGAUCUUUAGCUGGUCUGAGAGGAUGAUCAGCCACACUGGGACUGAGACACGGCCCAGACUCCUACGGGAGGCAGCAGUGGGGAAUAUUGGACAAUGGGCGAAAGCCUGAUCCAGCAAUGCCGCGUGAGUGAUGAAGGCCUUAGGGUUGUAAAGCUCUUUUACCAGGGAUGAUAAUGACAGUACCUGGAGAAUAAGCUCCGGCUAACUCCGUG
rnacentral:rRNA from 1 species